GUUAAGUUGCAGGGUAUAGACCCGAAACCCGGUGAUCUAGCCAUGGGCAGGUUGAAGGUUGGGUAACACUAACUGGAGGACCGAACCGACUAAUGUUGAAAAAUUAGCGGAUGACCUGUGGCUGGGGGUGAAAGGCCAAUCAAACCGGGAGAUAGCUGGUUCUCCCCGAAAGCUAUUUAGGUAGCGCCUCGUGAAUUCAUCUCCGGGGGUAGAGCACUGUUUCGGCUAGGGGGCCAUCCCGGCUUACCAACCCGAUGCAAACUGCGAAUACCGGAGAAUGUUAUCACGGGAGACACACGGCGGGUGCUAACGUCCGUCGUGAAGAGGGAAACAACCCAGACCGCCAGCUAAGGUCCCAAAGUCAUGGUUAAGUGGGAAACGAUGUGGGAAGGCCCAGACAGCCAGGAUGUUGGCUUAGAAGCAGCCAUCAUUUAAAGAAAGCGUAAUAGCUCACUGGUCGAGUCGGCCUGCGCGGAAGAUGUAACGGGGCUAAACCAUGCACCGAAGCUGCGGCAGCGACACUGUGUGUUGUUGGGUAGGGGAGCGUUCUGUAAGCCUGUGAAGGUGUGUCGUGAGGCAUGCUGGAGGUAUCAGAAGUG
rnacentral:rRNA from 1 species